rnacentral:ncRNA from 1 species
AACAAUGCGUUGAAAGGGAAGAGUACAGCGUCCUACGUCUUCAGAGAGAGAAAUCAUUUGCUGAGAGAUUUCUUAGAUGGUAGUGUUGGAAGGUCGCCCUUGAGCAGCUUCUUUGAACUCACGUUUGGAAAGUAGGAGGAGCCGGUGAAACCCGUUACAGAUGUUAAGCGUACAGGUGUAGUGUAUCUAUAUCUGUAAAAAAAGGUGGUACCGCGAUCUCCGUCGUCCUUUUG